GAUCCCAUCAGAACUCCGAAGUUAACUGUGCUUGGGCGAGAGUAGUACUAGGAUGGGUGACCUCCUCGGAAGUCCUCGUGUUGCACCC
rnacentral:rRNA from 1 species